rnacentral:rRNA from 1 species
GCUAAGAAUCUUCCGCAAUGGGGGAAACCCUGACGGAGCGACGCCGCGUGGAUGAUGAAGGCCGUAAGGUUGUAAAAUCCUUUUGUUGGUGAAGAAUAAGGGGUGGAGUGGAAAGCCGCCCUGAUGACGUUAGCCGACGAAUAAGCCCCGGCCAAUUACGUGCCAGCAGCCGCGGUAAUACGUAUGGGGCAAGCGUUGUUCGGAGUUAUUGGGCGUAAAGGGCGUGUAGGCGGCUCAUCAAGUCUGGUGUGAAAUCGCGGGGCUUAACCCCGCAUAUGCGCUGGAAACUGGUGGGCUUGAGUUCCUGAGGGGAAGCUGGAAUUCCAGGUGUAGGAGUGAAAUCUGUAGAUAUCUGGAAGAACACCGGUGGCGAAGGCGAGCUUCUAUCAGAGGACUGACGCUGAGGCGCGAAAGCGUGGGGAGCAAACAGGAUUAGAUACCCGUGUAGUCC